rnacentral:rRNA from 1 species
UACGUAGGUGGCAAGCGUUGUCCGGAAUUAUUGGGCGUAAAGCGCGCGCAGGCGGCCUUUUAAGUCUGAUGUGAAAGCCCACGGCUCAACCGUGGAAGGUCAUUGGAAACUGAAAGGCUUGAGUACAGAAGAGGAAAGCGGAAUUCCACGUGUAGCGGUGAAAUGCGCAGAUAUCAGGAGGAACACCGAUUGCGAAGGCAGCUCGCUGGGACGUCACUGACGCUGAGACGCGAAAGCGUGGGGAGCAAACAGG